rnacentral:rRNA from 1 species
GAGUGAACGCUGGCGGUAGGCCUAACACAUGCAAGUCGAACGGCAGCCCAGUAAGAGCUUGCUCUUACGGGUGGCGAGUGGCGGACGGGUGAGGAAUACAUCGGAAUCUACUUUUUCGUGGGGGAUAACGUAGGGAAACUUACGCUAAUACCGCAUACGACCUACGGGUGAAAGCGGGGGAUCUUCGGACCUUGCGCGAUUGAAUGAGCCGAUGUCGGAUUAGCUAGUUGGCGGGGUAAAGGCCCACCAAGGCGACGAUCCGUAGCUGGUCUGAGAGGAUGAUCAGCCACACUGGAACUGAGACACGGUCCAGACUCCUACGGGAGGCAGCAGUGGGGAAUAUUGGACAAUGGGCGCAAGCCUGAUCCAGCCAUACCGCGUGGGUGAAGAAGGCCUUCGGGUUGUAAAGCCCUUUUGUUGGGAAAGAAAAGCAGCAGGUUAAUACCCCGCUGUUCUGACGGUACCCAAAGAAUAAGCACCGGCUAACUUCGUG